GCAAACUUGGUCAUUUAGAGGAAGUAAAAGUCGUAACAAGGUUUCCGUAGGUGAACCUGCGGAAGGAUCAUUACCGAGUGAGGACCUAACCGGUCCAACCUCCCACCCGUGUCUAUCGUACCUUGUUGCUUCGGCGGGCCCGCCAUUCGUGGCCGCCGGGGGGCAUCUCGCCCCCGGGCCCGCGCCCGCCGGAGACACCAACACGAACACUGUCUGAAGGUUGCAGUCUGAGUCGAUUUAUUUAAUCGUUAAAACUUUCAACAACGGAUCUCUUGGUUCCGGCAUCGAUGAAGAACGCAGC
rnacentral:misc_RNA from 1 species